UACGGGGGGGGCAAGCGUUGUUCGGAAUUACUGGGCGUAAAGCGUGCGCAGGCGGCGAUGUAAGACAGUUGUGAAAUCCCCGGGCUCAACCUGGGAACUGCAUCUGUGACUGCAUCGCUGGAGUGCGGCAGAGGGGGAUGGAAUUCCGCGUGUAGCAGUGAAAUGCGUAGAUAUGCGGAGGAACACCGAUGGCGAAGGCAAUCCCCUGGGCCUGCACUGACGCUCAUGCACGAAAGCGUGGGGAGCAAACAGG
rnacentral:rRNA from 1 species